rnacentral:piRNA from 1 species
UGAGCAAUGAAGGAUUCACGAAUUGGGC